rnacentral:rRNA from 1 species
AUACGUAGGGGGCAAGCGUUGUCCGGAAUUAUUGGGCGUAAAGCGCGCGCAGGCGGUUCUUUAAGUCUUGUGUUUAAUGCCGUGGCUCAACCACGGUCCGCAUGGGAAACUGGGGAACUGGAGUGCAGGAGAGGAAAGUGGAAUUCCACGUGUAGCGGUGAAAUGCGUAGAGAUGUGGAGGAACACCAGUGGCGAAGGCGACUUUCUGGCCUGUAACUGACGCUGAGGCGCGAAAGCGUGGGGAGCAAACAGGAUUAGAUACCCUGGUAGUCCACGCCGUAAACGAUGAGUGCUAGGUGUCGGGGGUUUCGAUACCUUCGGUGCCGAAGUAAACGCAAUAAGCACUCCGCCUGGGGAGUACGUUCGCAAGAAUGAA